UUUAUGGAGAGUUUGAUCCUGGCUCAGGAUGAACGCUGGCGGCGUGCCUAAUACAUGCAAGUCGAGCGAACGGACGAGAAGCUUGCUUUUCUGAUGUUAGCGGCGGACGGGUGAGUAACACGUGGAUAACCUACCUAUAAGACUGGGAUAACUUCGGGAAACCGGAGCUAAUACCGGAUAAUAUUUUGAACCGCAUGGUUCAAAAGUGAAAGACGGUCUUGCUGUCACUUAUAGAUGGAUCCGCGCUGCAUUAGCUAGUUGGUAAGGUAACGGCUUACCAAGGCAACGAUGCAUAGCCGACCUGAGAGGGUGAUCGGCCACACUGGAACUGAGACACGGUCCAGACUCCUACGGGAGGCAGCAGUAGGGAAUCUUCCGCAAUGGGCGAAAGCCUGACGGAGCAACGCCGCGUGAGUGAUGAAGGUCUUCGGAUCGUAAAACUCUGUUAUUAGGGAAGAACAUAUGUGUAAGUAACUGUGCACAUCUUGACGGUACCUAAUCAGAAAGCCACGGCUAACUACGUGCCAGCAGCCGCGGUAAUACGUAGGUGGCAAGCGUUAUCCGGAAUUAUUGGGCGUAAAGCGCGCGUAGGCGGUUUUUUAAGUCUGAUGUGAAAGCCCACGGCUCAACCGUGGAGGGUCAUUGGAAACUGGAAAACUUGAGUGCAGAAGAGGAAAGUGGAAUUCCAUGUGUAGCGGUGAAAUGCGCAGAGAUAUGGAGGAACACCAGUGGCGAAGGCGACUUUCUGGUCUGUAACUGACGCUGAUGUGCGAAAGCGUGGGGAUCAAACAGGAUUAGAUACCCUGGUAGUCCACGCCGUAAACGAUGAGUGCUAAGUGUUAGGGGGUUUCCGCCCUUAGUGCUGCAGCUAACGCAUUAAGCACUCCGCCUGGGGAGUACGACCGCAAGGUUGAAACUCAAAGGAAUUGACGGGGACCCGCACAAGCGGUGGAGCAUGUGGUUUAAUUCGAAGCAACGCGAAGAACCUUACCAAAUCUUGACAUCCUUUGACAACUCUAGAGAUAGAGCCUUCCCCUUCGGGGGACAAAGUGACAGGUGGUGCAUGGUUGUCGUCAGCUCGUGUCGUGAGAUGUUGGGUUAAGUCCCGCAACGAGCGCAACCCUUAAGCUUAGUUGCCAUCAUUAAGUUGGGCACUCUAAGUUGACUGCCGGUGACAAACCGGAGGAAGGUGGGGAUGACGUCAAAUCAUCAUGCCCCUUAUGAUUUGGGCUACACACGUGCUACAAUGGACAAUACAAAGGGCAGCGAAACCGCGAGGUCAAGCAAAUCCCAUAAAGUUGUUCUCAGUUCGGAUUGUAGUCUGCAACUCGACUACAUGAAGCUGGAAUCGCUAGUAAUCGUAGAUCAGCAUGCUACGGUGAAUACGUUCCCGGGUCUUGUACACACCGCCCGUCACACCACGAGAGUUUGUAACACCCGAAGCCGGUGGAGUAACCUUUUAGGAGCUAGCCGUCGAAGGUGGGACAAAUGAUUGGGGUGAAGUCGUAACAAGGUAGCCGUAUCGGAAGGUGCGGCUGGAUCACCUCCUUUCU
rnacentral:rRNA from 1 species